ensembl:lncRNA
GUCUGUCUCUGGGAGGGAGGAGAGAGAGGGAGGGAGGGAGGAUGGGAUGCUUGGUUGGCUCUGUAUAAAGGCAUGCAUGCGUGCUGGUGUGUGUGUGCAGUUUCUCCCCAUUUCUCUGCUGCCAUAUAUGGAGUCCUGCGUGUUAAGUUCUAGCUCUUCACGCUAACGCCUCUGACUGGAAGACAGAGUGUGUGUGUGUGUGUGUGUGUGUGUGGAAUGCGCAUGUCUGUGCCAGGGUGAGUGAGUCUGCGUCUGGUUCUAUGUGUUGCAUACGUGUGUGUGUCUGGGUUUUGGAGUGGCGAAUGCGCAUGUCCUGUUGGUGUGUGUGGGUGGUUUGGGUACGCGGCUCUGCCAGCAGUGUGUGUGUGGUAUGUGCGGCGGUAGAGAAUGAGAGGAGACUGUUUGUUUGUGUCUGACUCAGUAGGAGAGACAUACAGUACUACAGUCUGGAGAGGAAGGAAGCCUAUAGACACACACACACAGCAUUGCUACCUGCGUUAGCACAAUGACAUGCUAGCUGUUCCCAUAGACUUCCAGUCAUUGAGCCAACAACUUUAAAAGCACGUCUUGCAGGAAUUUAAUUUAUUAUAAUUUAGCCUCUGUGGCAAUGUAGGAGUGGUGGGCCACCUCUGCUAAAUGAAUAUAGAUGAAACACUGGCUGGCUCAUAGGGGAGGGAGGGGACAGCAUCAAACUGUUCACUAAACAAACCAUUAAAUCCCAUUCAGAGUCCUGAUCUCAUUCAGCUUCACUGCUUCACUUUAUUCUGAUUCAAUUCGGCCUCCACUUUAUGACCCAGGUCUAAGUGCACUACUUCCUUUGGGACAGAGCCAAUGUAGGGAAUAGGGUGCGGUUUAGGAUGUAAGCUAAAUGUCUGAAAAUGGCGGCCGUGUUGUGAAUGUGAAUGACUCGUGUGUAAGAGUGAAUGUUUGUUUGGCAGGAGGAGGGGGCUGUUUGACGUGGUAACUGUCUAAACAACAGAUGGGACUGCCUGAUAGGAUGACUUGGUGUGUGUGUCGGUCCAGGUGUGUCCUUUCUUGCAUGUGUGCUGGUGUGACAGUCUGUGUGUGUGUGUGUGUGUGUGUAUACAGUACCAGUCAAAUGUUUGGACUCCUACUCAUUCCAGGGCUUUUCCUUAUUUGUAGAAUAAUAGUGAAGACAUCAGAACUAUGAAAUAACACAUGGAAUCAUGUAGUAACCAAAAAAGUGUUAAACAAAUCAAAUAUAUAUUUGAGAUUCUUCAAAUAGCCACCCUUUGCCUUGAUGACAGUUAGGCACACUCUUGGCAUUCCCCUCAACCAGCUUCACCUGGAAUGCUUUUUCCAACAAUCUUGAAGGAAACUCUUGAAUGAGUAGGUGUGUCCAAACGUUUGACUGGUACUGUAUAUAUGUCUCUGCAUCGGGCAAUGCAGGUGUCCAACCAACCAGGCGUCCAUUCCCUUCAGGAGACUGCAGGCUGACAAUGCAUGUGUCUAACCAACCAACUAGGCGUCCAUUCCCUUCAGGAGACUGCAGGCUGACAAUGCAUGUGUCUAACCAACCAACCAGGCGUCCAUUCCCUUCAGGAGACUGCAGGCUGACAAUGCAUGUGUCUAACCAACCAACCAGGCAUCCAUUCCCUUCAGGAGACUGCAGGCUGACAAUGGGUCUGUUUAUAAAAGUGCAGUGAUGACUAAGACUAGGAUGAUGUUGAAGAUGGUGGUAUACAUUUCCCUGUCGGUGGUCUCUCUAUCUAAAUAUUAAUACAGAGAGACACAGUCCAUUUUAGAUGUUUAUACUAAUAAGAUUGUUGUUAUUCCAAGUUGACUGACUUUAUUUUUAUGUGAAAUCCCUAGACUUGAGUGGGAAGAUGGGAGGGAGGGAGUUGGGAGGGAAGGAGAGAGAGAGAGAGAGAGAGAGAGAGGGGUGUGGUGCUAUUCUAUACGUUCCUAGAUACAUGAUUGUUACCCUACCUCUUACGGAUGGAGGGAGGGAGGGUGUGGUGCUAUUCUAUACGUUCCUAGAUACAUGGUUGUUACCCUACCUCUUACGGAUGGAGGGAAGAGGAGGAGGGGGGGGUGCUUUUCUUUCUUCCUGCUUGUUUAGAGUCUGAGGACGUAGGAGGCAUUGUGGCAGGCCUCUGGUACUUAACUGCAGUCAAGACAACUGAGCGAGGCAGAAGAUCCUUGUCCCAUGGCCUUUUUGCAACAAAGAUAAAUAUUUAGUUGUUUCUUAAUGUAAGUGUUGGGGUGACGUAGCCUUUUCCUGCCUACCCAGACUCCUUGCUCCAGCCAAACGCUACGCCAUGGAUCUGACGAUUUCUAGAACGCAAACACAUUCAAACAGUUGUGAUUGGUCCCAGAAGGCGAUGGGUUGGGCCAGAACACACGUGGGCAAAGCUGCGUUUUCAAAAUGUGUCAUUGGCUUACUCUGAUUGGUUCGAGAUGCUCCAAUCGGUAAUGACUUUUGUUUUGCACAACACCCCUCAUUGUGAUGUCACCACAACCGACUUCAACGCUGACUGUCUGACUGAAGUAUGUAGUCAGUCGUCAGGCAGACAGCCUGGAAAUCCAGACUGUUUCAUUAUAGCAGAGCUGAAAUCCAUACCCUAUUACCUGUACUACUUUUGACUAGGGCCCAUAUGGCAUCCCAUAGGACUCUGGCCAAAAGUAGUGCACUAUAUUGGGAAUAGGGUGCCAUUUUGGGAUGUUACCACAGACACCCCUGGCCUCCUAGCCUGGAAAUCAAGUCUACAUUCCAAAUGGCACCCUAUUCCCUAAAAAAUAUUGCACUACUUUUGACCAGAGCCCUAUGGACCAUGGUCAAAAGUAGUGCACUAAAUAAAGAAUAGGAUGCCAUUUGGGAUACAAACAUGUUUGUCUUUUUUUUUAAUGACUUUUAUCAAGUCCAAUGCUACUGAGAGGGGACAGGAGAACGAGGAAAAGGAGGACGAGUGAGUGAUGAAUCCUGUAGAAACGCUGGCCAAACACACCAUUUCUAAAUGCGGCUGGAAGUUGUUUCGCAGGGCCAGAAAUUACAUUUCAAAAAUACUAGAGACCAUAUUGUAGAAAAGAGCUUUGUAGGAAAUGUUAUUAUUACGUUGCUGUUUUUCUGUUGAUACUUACCAAUGUUUUUAUUUCUACAGAUUUAAAUGUUUACUGUAUAGCUGCUUUUACCAACGCUAGUAUUCACACAAUAUCCUUGCUAGGAAUUAGCUUUCAAAAAACGGAAUAGUCCACCGGAAGCCAGAAGUCAAGUCAAAUUCAAUUUCAACUUUGUCCGUAAGGUUGGUCUUUAUGCAGGGGGGAGAUGGAGAAAGAACUUAGAAUGGAACGUAUGAUUAGAGGUCUGUUUGUAGACCCCAUGCAGUUCCUCCGGGACUUCAGUUCCUCUCUGUUUACCUCAUGUCAAAAUAAAAGUCCCUCACAAGUUCUUGCUUUCUUGUGCAGGUAUGGCGCACGUGCCAGACUUUUAUCUUGACGCGAGGUAAGCAGAGAGGAAGUGGGACGACAGACCCACGUUUGGACAGGGUUUAAGUUAUGUUCUACUAAAUGUUUCUUGCUUAAUUUCCCCCCUGCAUAAGGACCAACUCCACAGACAAUCGGCAGAGUAAGUUGAAAUGUCAUUUUAUUUCACUCCUGUCUUCCGGCUGACUAUUCUGUAUUUUUGCAAGCUAUUUCCUAGCAACACUAGUGUGUAAAUACUAGUGUUGCUAAGAGAAGCUAUGUACUAUGUAGUGUUUUAGGUCCUGAUUACUAAUUCAAACAUUAACACGUUUUAGAAACUUGCCAAGUGUUCUGUCAUUAAGAGGAAGUCGAACUCUGAAAGUGUAAAAUAGCUAGAGAAAGAGAUCCACAUAUUUUUGCAUUGUGCUGUAAAUGAAGGGGAGGGGGCAGUUUUGAUGCUGGACACGAGAAGGGGGGGAACACCGUACUGAAACUGCAUUGUGUACUUUUGGGAGGGAGGGAGACAGGGUUGGUUGGUUUACAGACUGACAGAUGAUGGACUGUAGAAGCACCACUAGCUGGUAUGUCCGUCUCUCCUAAGGGACUAUAUCUCUUAAAUUCCUUACUAGGAAUAACCAUUUCUAAUAUCCAUCAGACAUUGUUUUUUAUGUUCUUGUACAUUUCUUUGAAAUCCAGAAUUCCCUGGAAGUUAAAUUAGCUUCCGCCUUCACUUGACCAUGCUUGGCUCUCGUCUCAUGUGAUCCAGCUCAGUUGUUAGAGCACGGCGCUUGCAACGCCAGGAUAGUGGGUUCAAUUCCCGGGACCACCCAUACGUAAAAUGUAUGCACGCGUGACUGUAAAUCGCUUUGGAUAAAAGCAUCUGCUAAAUGGUAUAGAAUGACAACUGUCCCAGUCAGGGAAAUGUUGCCUGGAUUGUGAUCUCGGUUACCCAGAAGUAACAUUAUUGCCGAAAAUUGUCUGUCCACAAGAGAAUAGCUGGAUUGUGAUGCUCAUAAGGUGCUCGCCCACCUGGUGUCUGGUGUUGGUACUACAACUCAGAGGGGGGGGACUUCUUGCGCUGCCUGGCAUUACCAUCAUCCUACCGAUAGAGGGCAGCGUAAUGUUACAUCAGUGAGACCGUGGUUGAGCUUUGCUUUCUGUCUCGACUUGUCUUGUAUUCAUUAAUUCUACAUUCAAAAAGACCUGUCAGUAUUUGCUUUGGGGAUGAAGUCCCCAUUGUGUUUGAGACCAAAUAUUUAGUCCGUUGAUCCCCAUAGCUAACGUAAGCUCUGCUGGAGCCUGUACACGGCCCCAAGUUACUACUCAUUCAUAGCCUAUAUCCUGACAGGAAUACAUCGCUUCUUGUCUUUGUCAUGUCCAUGUAUCUACCAGUCUGUCUUCCCAAGACGUUGACAAUACGCCAUUUCAAUGUCUUGUGCUCACUGGGUUGCUUCUUGUCGCUACCUGGUUCCACUCGGCACCACAGACAAAUAAAAGGGAAAUAGAGAGGGUGAAAUAAUCUUUACUGAAGCACCUUUGGGUGAGUGCUAACGGUCCGGUAUAGUAGAGACCGCUAGCCAAAGCCUCGGCACCUUGUCAACACGUUCUCUAUUUAGUCCCUCAAGACCGGUCUGUGGAGUGGUAUUUGGUGGCAGAAGUGGGAUCCGGGCAUAGAAAUAGAAUCUAUAGAACGGACCUCCCCAUUCAAGUCAAUGAUGUCAUCAUGGGUUAGGCAGGCGUACUCAACUCUUACCCUACGCGUUCCCGAGCCUGCUGCUUUUCUGUUCUACCUAAUAAUUAAUUGCACACACCUGGUGUCCCAGGUCUAAAUCAGUCCCUGGUUUUAGAGGGGAACAAUGGCAACAUUCAGUGGAAACUGUCUUGGCGGUCCAGAGUUGAGUUUGAGGGGGUUAGAGGUUCCAAGCCCGUUCUAUUUCCAUGGAUCCAGGGUUGUUCAUUAGGCACCAAACUGACAAGCGUGGAGGGACUACCCGAAUUUGUCCAAUAGGAAGCUCUAGUUUUUCUUCAUUGUGAAAUGAUUUGCUACGCUGUCUACUAAUGAAUCUGUGUGGGGAUGAAUGGGGGGGAAUCAUUUUUUUGUAGUUUCCUUUAUUUCUGUAUUUUUUAUUAUUCCUUUUCAUUUUGUAUUUUUAUUUGGUGUUCAUUUGUUGUUGCUGUACCCACCAUAACCCCCCGGGCAGGUUCUGGGGGUGGUGCCCAACCAACCAACGUGUAGGGAGGUUAUCCCCCUGGUCAUGUAACACCCUGGGUCCUAGUGACCAGACUGUACAUCUCUUCUCUGCAGAGGGAGGAGAGGGGACGCCAUUCUAUUACUAUAGUAGCCUCCCUCCCAACCGGCCCUCUCUGCAUGGUAGGCUAUAGGUCCAAGUUAACCCCUUUACCACAGCUCUAGAACCAGAUUACCCUAUUACCAAUCCUAAUUCUCAACAUAAUGGGGAUAAAGAAAGAUCUGACCUUAGACCAGUGGUAAGGGACAUGGCCAUUUCUGCUUGCAUUGUGGCCUGUCAACCCUUGUAUGUUUCCUUGCAGUUAAAAUCAGACCUGGGUUCAAGUCUUUUAAAUCUGUAAAAUACUUUGGAGCUCUAGUCCUCCUGGAGAGUCUGAUGGGCCGUGUAUGCCAAUUCUAUUGGGUCCACUAAGCCAGGCGUGCUCAAUCAAUCCCAGAUGAAGUAUUUGAUCCCAGGUCUGGCUCCAAUCUGUGCUUUUCUCUGCAACCGCUGACUGACAGCAAUCUUCUAAACGUCUAUUCCAGAGAUACAUUUACUAGUAUUACCGCUCCUUAUAAGGACCCUGACGCACCAGAGAUCCACACACACACGGCAUGGCUGCUCACUGAUAGUGUCCUGUUUAAUGUGUGUUUACAACUACACAGAUACAGUUUACCUCCUAUGCCGUCAGUCAUAGCCUCAGACCGUUACUAACCUCAUAAGUACCGGGGUCGUGUUCAUUACGCACAGAACGGACUGAAAACGGGGAGGGACUGCAUGAACUUGUCUAAUAAGAGACGCUCAUGUUUUUUUUUCUCUUCCCCCCCGUUGCAAAACGUUUCUCUACGGUGCGCCCUAAUGAAUACGACCCAGGAGACGUUAAGGCUACAGUACAGUUUGUUCAGGUACAGACAGACCAGAACAAUAAAAAUAGCUCAAGCCUCAUUGACAUGGAAUGAAUAGAAUACAGUCAAGGUAUUGGCUGUGGAGAAGUGGGAUGCUUUGUGAAAGUUAUUACCUCAGUUACAUAGAGAGAUAUGACAGCAACCGAGAAUGACUCUUCUCUUUUUGAUUUGGUUUCCUGUCUCUGGUGCCGUCGGUCUUUCCCCGUUGCAGAUCUUUCUUUUCACACUAUAUUAAACUGUACAUUCUUACAAUACAUAGAAGCACUAUUGAAGUGUGUUAGUUGUUCACUCGCAGCAUGAGUUAUGAUUUAAAAAAUAACCCAGACUAAAUCAAAUAUAAAAAGCUUUUUUGGAUAUAAAAUACAACCUAAUGCAGUAGUGUUGUCAGAGAUAUACUACUGAUGAUGCUCCUCCCGACGACCCUAUCCCAUGCCGUGUUCCCCUGAUCCCGACCCAUGUACAUGCCAGUGUUCCAAGUGCCAAUAACUUUGUGAAAUCCUAACUGUGACCCAGUAAUAAAGAUAAUUGCACAUUAACUACUGUAAAAAAGACAAAUUAUGAAAAACAAUCUGAAUAUCUUAAUAAAAGGUUUGUAACAAAUACGUGUGGUUUUUACUGUGUUUUAGUCGUACGUUAUGGAGUUGUGCUGUCGUCUUCAUGGUUUGUAAAUAUUAAGUUGAGUUAGGAGUCACAACUUAGGCAUGUAUACCACAUUUAAACAUUCCUGGCUUGUCUUUUUAUCCAGUGGAUUCAG